rfam:Echinococcus granulosus EG_S00007, whole genome shotgun sequence.
GCCCGCGUGGCCUAAUGGAUAAGGCGUCUGCCUCCUAAGUAGAAGAUUGUGGGUUCGAGUCCCACCGUGGGUG